rnacentral:lncRNA from 1 species
AUGCUGCAACGGGCACCCCUAUUUCUCCCCAUGGUCACUGGCACCCCCACCUGCUCCUACGCCGCCACUGGUGCCCCCACCUCCCCCAACGCCUCCACGGGCGUCCCCGCUUCUCCCCAUGCUGCCACUGGCACCCCCACCUCCAAUGCCGCCACCGGCGUCCCCACUUCUCCCCACGCCCACCAGCACCACCACGUGCUCCUAGGCCACUUCCGCCACCACCAAGUGAUUCUAUGCCGCCACCAGAACCCCCACUUCCCCCAAUGUCGCCAUUGGCACCCCCACCUUCAAUGCGGCCACCGGCACUUCCACUUCUCCCCACGCCGCCAGUGCUACUAUAUGCUCCUAUGCCACCAUCGACGCCACCAACUAUUCCUAGGCCACCACCAGCGCCCCCACCUCCCCCAACGCUGCCACUGGCACCCCUACUUCUCCCCACCCGCCACUAGGAACACCACCUGUUCCUACACCACCACUGGCGCUCCCACCUCCCCCAAUACCGCAACCAGCGCCCCUACUUCUCCCCACGCCGCCACCGGUGCCACGUAUUCCUACGCAGCCACUGGCGCCACCACAUGCUCCUACACGGCCACCAGCACUCCCACUUCCCCAAAGGCUGCCAGUGGUGCCCCCACUUCUCCCACACCGCCACUGGCGCCACCACUUGCUCCUACACCACCAGCACCCCCACUUCCCCCAACGCCGCCACUGGUGCCCCCACUUCUCCCCACCCACCACUGGCACCAAUAUCUCCUUCUGUGCCACCACUGUCACCCCCACCUUCAACGCCGCCACCAGCCCCACUUCCCGCAACGCCGCCACUGGCGCCACCACUGGCGUCCCCAUCUCCCACUGGUGCCACUGGCAGCCCACUUCUCCCAACACAGCCACUGGCGCAACCAUAUGGUCCUACACCACCACCAGCGCCCCUCACCUCCCCCAACGCCACUACUGGCGCCUCCACUUCUCCCCACGCUGCCACUUCCUCUACUCCCACCUCAGGCCUAUAUGGGCAACCAGAGUCCAAGGUAUACAGUGGUCCUGAUUUCAAUUAAGUCACUCAAUUAG